rnacentral:rRNA from 1 species
AGUGGCGAACUGGUGAGUAACACGUGGGUAACCUGCCCUUGAAGUAGGGGAUAACACUUGGAAACAGGUGCUAAUACCGUAUAACAACCAAAACCACCUGGUUUUGGUUUAAAAGACGGCUUCGGCUGUCACUUUAGGAUGGACCCGCGGCGUAUUAGCUUGUUGGUAAGGUAACGGCCUACCAAGGCGAUGAUACGUAGCCGACCUGAGAGGGUAAUCGGCCACAUUGGGACUGAGACACGGCCCAAACUCCUACGGGAGGCAGCAGUAGGGAAUCUUCCACAAUGGACGAAAGUCUGAUGGAGCAACGCCGCGUGAGUGAUGAAGGGUUUCGGCUCGUAAAACUCUGUUGUUGGAGAAGAACAGGUGUCAGAGUAACUGUUGACAUCUUGACGGUAUCCAACCAGAAAGCCACGGCUAACUACGUGCCAGCAGCCGCGGUAAUACGUAGGUGGCAAGCGUUGUCCGGAUUUAUUGGGCGUAAAGCGAGCGCAGGCGGUUUUUUAGGUCUGAUGUGAAAGCCUUCGGCUUAACCGGAGAAGUGCAUCGGAAACCGGGAGACUUGAGUGCAGAAGAGGACAGUGGAACUCCAUGUGUAGCGGUGAAAUGCGUAGAUAUAUGGAAGAACACCAGUGGCGAAGGCGGCUGUCUGGUCUGUAACUGACGCUGAG